rnacentral:misc_RNA from 1 species
GAGGAUUUGAAGGUUUUGGAGAAGAAGUUCCUGGAUUGGAGAAAGUACAUUGUUGAAAAAAUGGACGGAAUCGAGCUUAACCUCGAAGGAUUUAGAUACAAGCUCGGUGUGAUGACUUUGAGGGGAUGAAGAAAGCUUGGGAGGAGUUUUACGCUUUUGGAAAUCGAGGGUACUCCAGAGGGGGGAGGCAAGAGCCAGACACUAUUAUAGUGCGAGGG